rnacentral:rRNA from 1 species
GAUGAACGCUAGCGGGAGGCCUAACACAUGCAAGCCGAGCGGUAGAGAUUCUUCGGGAUCUUGAGAGCGGCGUACGGGUGCGGAACACGUGUGCAACCUGCCUUUAGCAGGGGGAUAGCCUUUCGAAAGGAAGAUUAAUACCCCAUAAUAUAUUUAUUGGCAUCAAUUAAUAUUGAAAACUCCGGUGGAUAGAGAUGGGCACGCGCAAGAUUAGAUAGUUGGUAGGGUAACGGCCUACCAAGUCAAUGAUCUUUAGGGGGCCUGAGAGGGUGAUCCCCCACACUGGUACUGAGACACUGACCAGACUCCUACGGGAGGCAGCAGUGAGGAAUAUUGGACAAUGGGUGAGAGCCUGAUCCAGCCAUCCCGCGUGAAGGACGACGGCCCCAUGGGUUGUAAACUUCUUUUGUACAGAACGAAAAGGUUUCUACUAAUACUAGGAGCUCAUGACGGUACUGUAAGAAUAAGCACCGGCUAACUACGUGCCAGCCGCCGCGGUAA